AUACGGAGGGUGCAAGCGUUGUUCGGAAUUACUGGGCGUAAAGCGCGCGGAGGUGGUCUGUUAUGUCAGAUGUGAAAGUCCACGGCUCAACCGUGGAAGUGCAUUUGAAACUGGCAGACUUGAGUACUGGAGGGGGUAGUGGAAUUCCCGGUGUAGAGGUGAAAUUCGUAGAUAUCGGGAGGAAUACCGGUGGCGAAGGCGACUACCUGGCCAGAUACUGACACUGAGGUGUGAAAGCGUGGGGAGCGAACAGGAUUAGAAACCCCGGUAGUCC
rnacentral:rRNA from 1 species